UGUUUAAUGGUCCACUUAAAAGGAAUUAGUCACGAGGGAAACAGAUAAACGGGAGAAACACGAAGGGAAUCAAGCAUUUGCCACCGGUCGAUGACCGAUCGUGAAGAAGGUAGAGCGCGUCGGCAGGCGAGAAGGAGGCAUGAAGAUGGCUGCGAGGUCCGAUGGAUUUCGAACGGUUGCAGGCUGAGGUUGUGUUUCCGGUGUUCGGUCGAACCGAAGGAAGAGACGAGACGAAAGCAGAGGGCUCUCUCUCUUUCCCUUCCGGCUACUAGAUGCGAGGAAAGAUAAGGUCCGAGGAGACGGAGGUCGAUCAGUCCGAGGAGGCGUCCCGAGCAGCGACGUCGGUGAAGAUGAUACCUUCGGAGGUCGUUGGUUGCAAGGAACAGAAGAGAGAGUCUGAGUGUGGCCUUGUGGGGCUAUGGUGGUCGGAACUCUCAUUAGCAGCGGCGGUGGAGAAAUUGAUUGGGGUUUCUGGGAUGGUCUCGAUUGCUGGAAAGAAAACAGAUCAUCAAUAUGAUCUCGGGGUGUUUGUUUGUUUUAACAGGAAUCUAUGGAAUGAAUAAAAUGGUUGGUUGGUUGUUGAUGUUUGAUAAGAAAAGAAGAAGAUUAUCAGUUAUGGAAAAGGGUGUUUGGCUGUUUGUUGUCUACGGAAAGGGGAAAGAAAACGAAGCAAGGAAAAAAAUGUGAUGUUGUUCUUCAUGUUUGCAGGAAUACAAAAGAACAAGAACAAAAUGGUUCUUCGCUGGGAAUGAAGAUGUAGUCCGAAAAUAAAAUGUUGUAGGUGUUUGGGUAUUAGAUUGUUAUCACUGUACGUGUUUGAGUGUUAAUCUUUCUUUUCCUUUCCUUGUUUCUUUGAAUGUUCAGUAGAUGGGAAGGACAAACAGAAGAAGUGUUUGCGUGUGGUUGGUUUUGUUUAGGAUGUAACUUGGAAGUAAAUAUGGCUGUCUUUAUUUAUUUAUUUGUAUUUAUUUAUUUAUUUAAUUAUUUGUAUUUUUUUUUUUGAACCAGCAAAUCUAAUCUCCUCUUGAGCUAACAACUUCUAUUCCACCUAUGUCCACGACGGGAUUUGAACGCUCGACCUCAAAGAGAGAAGACAUCACCUAAUUAUUUGUAUUUGGUAUUUGGUAGAUUAAAUAGAUGUAUUGUGUAUGAAUUUAUAUUAUGUUUUUGUUUCAAUAUGUAUGAAAUGUGUGUAUUGAUUAAAUUAAGUAUGUAUUUGUAUAUAAA